CUACGGGUUGCAGCAGUGGGGAAUAUUGGACAAUGGGCGCAAGCCUGAUCCAGCAAUGCCGCGUGAGUGAAGACGGCCUUAGGGUUGUAAAACUCUUUCGCUAGGGAAGAUAAUGACUGUACCUAGUAAAGAAGUCCCGGCUAACUCCGUGGCCAGCAGCCGCGGUAAUACGGAGGGGACUAGCGUUGUUCGGAAUUACUGGGCGUAAAGAGUUCGUAGGCGGACUGACAAGUUAGAGGUGAAAUCCCAGGGCUCAACCCUGGAACUGCCUUUAAAACUGUCAGUCUAGAGACCGGAAGAGGUUAGGGGAAUACCUAGUGUAGAGGUGAAAUUCGUAGAUAUUAGGUGGAACACCAGUGGCGAAGGCGCCUAACUGGUCCGGUACUGACGCUGAGGAACGAAAGCGUGUGGAGCAAACAGGAUUAGAUACCCUAGUAGUC
rnacentral:rRNA from 1 species